CUGUGAUGACAUCUAAACUGACACAGCUGGAAUUACCGGCAGAUGGUUCAGUGGUGACGCUUGGUUUUCUGAGC